rnacentral:lncRNA from 1 species
CGAGACAGUGAAUACAAUGAAAUACAUAAAAUACAAUAGGAUGCAUUGAAAUACAAUAAAGAAAGACAGUGAAUACAAUGAAAUACAACGAGAUACAUUAAAUUAUAACGGAAAAAAGAAGGCAAUGAAUACAAUGAAAUACAUGAAAAUAUAUUAAAAUAUAAUCAAGUUGUCCAGCCCCAAACUCCAACAUCUUUGUUCAAGAAUAAACCUUAAUUUCCAACUAAUCCUUUGUUCACCAGAAGCCGGGAGUAAAAAUGUGCAGCCUUGGCCCGACGAUAUGCCGGAGUCGAGAUCACUUCCUGAGCAGAAGCAAUCACCAAUAAGACCGCCACUAUGGCAAAAAACAUCGUCAUAGCCUUCAAUGCUAUAUUUCAGAAGAUGUAGAAGUCAUAAAAACUCCGAUAGUACAGUAAAUUGAAGAGAGAUAAUUUAAUUAAUACAUCAAAAAGUAGAUACUUUUUCGGACUGGAGCAGUUGAAGGUGGCCAAUCGAUAAAGAGGAUAUUUACUAACUUCAUUAUUGAAUAGCAUAUCAAAAUAGGGAGAGAAUGAAAAUAGUGUAAUUGAUAGUAUAUUUAGUGGCUAGGGAUAAAAGAAUAAAAUUAAAUAUUUUGCUAUAAAUAUUAAAAUGUAUCAUAAUAUUAUUUUUUGAAUGGUAUUUAUUUAAAAUAAAUAAAAUAUUAACUUUUGCUAUACGAGAUAAAAAUAUUAAAAAAAAAUUAAUGAAAUGAUAUAAACUUUAUAAAAAAAAUGGUGUACAAAAAUCAUUAGAACAAACAUAUGAACAGAAAAAAGAACACCUGCUUAGCUAAUUUUCUUUCUCAACUGAUAUGGUUAGGUUUUGUCAGAUUCCAGUGAUUCCACCAUGCUAAUAGUAGGACCACUGUAUAUGAUGAAUGCCUAGUAAGAUUUAUAAUGCCUUUAAUAAAGAAAAAGAGAAAGAGGAAGCAAAAUUAGUUGACUUUGCUAGUGUUAGCAACUAGGUUUUGCUUCAAACACAAACGAAUCAUUAACUAUUCAGUGCUUUGUUUCUGCAUGAAACGUUAUCCGUCGCAAUUUAUGCGAUGCAAUUUAACUAGACAUAAAUAUUUAUGGUCUAAAUAAAAAAUUAUCCUGUUAAAUAUAAAAAUAAAGAAUUUGAUGUAAAAUUAUUUUUAAGUGAAAUUAAUAAAUUUAUAAACAAAUGCUGAUUUAAAAAAAAGUGAUUUUUUUUUGAGAAAAAUGAAAAAAAUUCUUAUGUCCAAAUAGGCUCUAAGGAGAAGUUUUAUUUCGUGCCUCACAACUGACACUAGUUAUAUGCGACUCCUUUUUGUUUCACGAAUUUGUGGAUCCCAAUCUUAUAUUUUUGGGUCUAUAAAUUUAUGAGACAAAAAAACUUCAUACAACUAAUAUCAGUAGUAUAAAACACAAAAUAAAAAUUUCCGGCUCAAGUACCCAACCUUUUUUAGGACUUAUUUGAAUGGACUAUCUUGCUAUGCAGCUGCCUUGCAACAACGCGACCUCCUUUUGUCACUUCAUUGAGAUAUGGAAUGAACAAGACAAAAAGGUUUAUUUUAAAAUCAAGAAAUCCCACAAUUCAACUUUACCUUUUGCUUUUGUACGCUUUAGUUUAAAAAUAGAAAUGAGUGAUUCAACACUGUUUUUGGAAUUUGAUAUGUUUAACCUUUUGAAUUCUCUGUGGAAGUUUUUGGAGCAUGCCCUAGCAAAGUUUACUUUGCCUCCAGUAAGUGUAGUGUUUGUCCUUUCUCUUUUGAGUCCCCACUUAAAUAUUGCGAUCCAACUUGCUUUAUUUCAAUAUGUGACAUGGUAACUUUUUCCUGAAAGCUCUUAACCUUUUAGAUUCUAACUUUCUUGGUGCAUGUUGCAAAUGAGAUCACAAUUGUGUCUUGAGAAUCAUUUGAUUCAACUAAUGAUAAGAUUUACUUACAGAAAUAAUUUGCAUAACUAAUUUGUUUCGUAUAUUACUGCGUUUUGAACCUUGUUUGAUUACCUUUUUGCUUUCUUCUAUAUGUGGUUAAUUCAAACCCCCCAUAAAAAGGUAGCUCAAUACGGCGUUCACGUAGGAUCCGAGUAAAGACCGCUCCUAAAAAAUAUUAUAGUUAAUCUACCUUAAUACAAACAUUAAAUGGUUAUUUUCUCGACUCGAACUUAUUACCUAUAGAUCACAUGAAAUAAUUUUACCUUUCCUCUGAGGUUCACCAUCCUAUAUCAUGUUAAUUCAAUGAGUUGAUGUCUUUCCAACUUGAUUAGGGGACUUCAGUCUUCAGAUUUUCCAACGAUGCAUAAUAAGAUUCCUAAAUAUAAAAUGUUACAAUCUCUGGAGGCUUGUUACAUUAAUGAUUCCACUUAUGUCUUGUCAAAUACUCCUAUCAAGUUGUUGAAUGUGCUAUAUUUUACAUCAUUUUUCCCUCCCCUGUUCCCUACCCAUUGUUAUAACGGGAAAGUUUUGAGAGUUUACGAUUAUAAUAAGAAAAUUCAGUUACUUUAAUUUAAUGUAAUGUAAACAAUUUUAAUUGUUAGAGUGACCAGAAAUGCAGAAUAAUAUGUUUGGUUAAGUUUUCAAAAGCUCCUUAUUUUCGAGAAAUACUUUUGGAUAAUCGUAUUUUAUGUUUGCUUAAACAAUUUUGUAUAUGGGUAAAAGCGGGGUAACCUGCACCCUAAUUUUUCGGUGGGUUAAACGAAACACAGGCAUGACUAUACGGGGUCGGAAUUGAAGCCGGAACGUUUCGUGCUAAGGUCCGAACGGAGUAUAUGCCACUGGGCUGGAUGAGACGGUACUUCCCCAAUCCCAGAACGAGCUCCGAGACCUCGGAAAGCAGUUAUGCACGACCAACAGAGGACCGAGAUAUUUUACCCCAAUGACUAUUACGGGUCGUAUCUCGCUCGACAACGGCAACAAAUUGGUAAUUGACUAAGAGGAGGAAAUUUACCCUUUUUUAGAAUUGUACAAGGGGUAAACCUCCCCCGCUAUAUAAAGAGAAAGUUUCAUAUUAAUAAACACAUUAUAAUAUGCAUAUCAAGACAAUACAAACUUUCUUUAUUUGCUUCUAAGUUAUUCAAAAGUUCUUAUUUUUGCUCAUAGUUCUUCAUAAUCGAGCUUCUAACAAUUUUCUUUGAAAAGUUCCGGAAUUCGGGCUCGUGAGCCCGAUGAUGAAUGUUAGGAAUCUUGUAUUUAGUGUUGGGUAAUCACUUUAAUGGUUGGGUUACGAACUUUUAAACAUACAUUGCUUUUUUACACUAUUUGAAUAGUUUUGGAUUGUUUGGCAUCGAAUUGAGGGUUUGGACAUAAUAUCGGACCAUAAAAUAAGCCUUGAGACGAGGUAAGUCUCUUUUCUAACCUUGUAAGAGGGAAAUUUCUCCAUAAGUGAACUUAAUUAAAAUAUGAUUAAUUUUUUUUGUUUGNNNNNNNNNNNNNNNNNNNNNNNNNNNNNNNNNNNNNNNNNNNNNNNNNNNNNNNNNNNNNNNNNNNNNGGGGGGGGGGGGGGGGGGGAUUACGUACACACAAAGUGAUAAGACUCUGUAUGUAGCUACUAUUCCUGAUUAUGUCCGAAUACUUUUAGAUUUACAUCAUGCUUUUUGGACACCAUUAUUGAUUAUAUUUGCUUAUUGUAACAAAUGAAAUUCGUUGAGGAUUUUCAAGGAUUUAAAAGCUUCAGGUUGAAUUGUCUCUAUUUUAAAAAGAAUCCAGAAAGGGUUAUGAUUUAAUGAUAAAAUUAUAUUUGACUGUAUCGCAUUUAUGAUUCGCAAGCAGGGUAAGUAUAUGCAUCUAUGGUUCGCGUCGUUCAACCCUCGAUAGUGCACAAUUUAUGUUUAUAUUGGACCGGGCCGAACGUCCUUGGUGGAAUUUGUGUGUAAUAAUAGAACUGGAAGUCCUUUUUAUAGCUUGUAUACAUUCAGUGUUUGAGAGAUCAUUUGUUAUAAAUGAAAGUGUUUUUAGUUUAUAAAUAUGAUGAAAGAAUUGUUCAGUUGUUUUACGUUCUGAGUUUUAUUGUUAUCUCUAUAUAUCAUGCUUAAUUAUAUUUUCAUAUUAUUAUAUUAUUUAGCCCUAGUAAGUGUUGGAGUCGACCCCCCGUCACUACUUUUUUAUUGUUAGACUAGAUACUUAGUGGGUACAUAUUUUUAUGUACUCACGCUACACUUAUGUACUUAAUUGUACAAGAUUUGAGGCAGGUGCAUCUGGCCACCAGUCUGACAUGCAGAUUUGAUCCCCAUCCCAAGAAUUCACGAUGAACUGCCUUUUGAGCCAUUCGACAGCAGCUAGAGUCUCUCUUAUGCUUUAUUUUCACGUCUAUUUUUUUUGGAGACAGUUAGCAUUCUUUUGUAUAUUCUACUAGAUUUCCCACGUACUUGUUAAGCCUAAAUCCAACCCGACACUUAACAUCUCAACUGGUUUAGUUAUUUAUCUUAUCUUUAUUUUGCUUAUAUGAUAUUCUUGAUCAUUUCUGUUGAAUUAAUCCACGUAUCCUUAAAAUCGCGUAAUAAUUUAAUGCGCCACCGUGGGGCUAAUAAUAAUAAUGGUGGUUUGAUACAAAUUUCUAUAACACAAUCUAUUUUACGCUUGCACUUUAAGGUUUCACUUUCAAGAUAACUUAAUAAUAUCAAACUCUCAGUCUGUUCACCUAAACAUUAACGUUGAGUCGAGCCAUCAUCGCGAAAAAAAUAAUAUGGCGCCUAACAAAGAGGUACCCCAUGCUGAUCCUAACAGAGUCCCGGCUGCCGACCCAAAAGAUGCUAAUUCGCAUGUGGCCAUCGACACCAACUUGCCUACUGACCUUGAGAACAACAUUCGUGGAGGAGCGCUAUCAAUGGCUCGAGGAGAGCUUUAAGGCGAAGGCAACGAGGUCAGUCUACGGGUGAUCUUCGAAAGGUUACAGGUCUAAUAGGCGAUGAUACCGCAAUUACAAAAUUAAAUUCGUGACCCCAGCAGGGUUGAAACCGAACCAUAUUGGGAAAACACCCGAAGAAAUGAGCAGAUCACUGAAAGCCCGGGUGAAAUAGAGACCGGUGUCAACCUCGAAGUAAUGAAAAUACUUGAAUCACUAACAAAAUGGGUAGAGUCAUGUGAAAAGAAAAUUGAGGCAACACAAAAAUUAGAGUGCCUGGCAGUAACUUUCGCCGACGUCCACAAUAGGUAUAGUCAAAUAUCAGAGUCAAGAACGAUCAUCUCGGGGCCCCUUCUGGGUUUGUUUAUCCCAUCAAAACGAAAGACAGGUCUAAGAGAGUCGUCGAUCAUGAACUGAUACUGAACCGAUACUGGUGUCAGCCAUAUAGCGGAGAUCAAAAGGGCAAAGGAUAUAGGCAUCACCCUACGAGGAACGAAAAGAGGAGCGAUCGAGACCACAACAGCCAAGAUCUGAUGAGCGAAAACAAUUUUGAUAGGCCACUCGGGGCCAGGGAGGUACCAAUAUUAUUAUUAGAAUAUAACUUCAACGUUGAUGAUGCCAGCAUCGUAUAAGCCAUUAGGUGCAUCAAGGAGACCAAGUGGCCUCGACCACUGUAGUAUGAUCCUACCCAAGGAGAUCCUAACUUGAUGUGUAAGUACUAUGGAACUCAUGGCAACAUGAUCGAGGAUUUCUUGAAAUUGAGAGAAGAAGUUGCCCGGUUAUUUAAUAACAGACACCUACGAGAAUUUCUGAGUGAUCGAACCAAAAACAACUUCAGAAAUAGGGAUGCCAAUAAACAGACUAAAUAAGAGGAACCUCAACACGUCAUCAACAUGAUCAUUGGAGGGAUCGAGGUCCCCAAGGGCCGAUGAUAAAAUUUAUUAAAGUGUCGAUCACAAGGGAGAAACUCACCCGGGAUUAUAUCCCAGAGGGAACCAGUUCGUUUAGCGAUGAGGAUGUCGAGGGAAUCAUACAAACUCAUAAUGAUGCAUUAGUAAUUAUUUUACUUAUCAAUAAAUCUCGAGUUACACUUGUGUUGAUUGAUCCAUAUAGCUCGGCCAUAUCAUCAGAUCCAGGGUCGUAGAGCCGUUAUGGUUACAAGAUCAAAUAGUGCCAGCAGUUCGAGUAUUAAACAGAUAUAACAUGGCAUGUGAAACUACUAAAUGGGAGAUAACCCUACCCGUGAACAGUGCCGGGACCAUCCAGGAAACAACAUUCUAUGUGAUCGAAGGGGAUAUGAGAUAUAACACUCUAUUCCGAAGACCAUGGGUUCACAACAUGAGGGCAGUGCCAUCGACCUUACACCAAGCAUUAAAGUUCAUACUCCGAGAGGAAUCAAGCUAGUGUAUAGAGAGAAGCUAGUUGCAAAGGAGAUUUUUGCAGUCAAUGAAGUACUCCCGGAACCCGCCAUCCCGAUAUUAAGGAACACAGAGCCGGCUAGAAAGGUCGAAGUCAAAUAGAAACCACCAUUGUCGGUCCCGGUUGGGCCAGAGACAUGAGCAUUUUAAGAGGAGGAUGAUUAUGGAAUUUUGAUAUCAUUCAUAGCUCAUUAUAAUACCGAUUCCACCAAAUCAACUGUCGAGGAGUUGGAACAAGUUAUAUUGAAUGAACACCUACCAAAUCAAAAGGUAUACGUGGGUAUAGGGUUAACCCCUAAGCUUAGGAAAGAACUCAUUAAUUUCCUUAAAACUAACAUAUCCUAUUUCGCUGGUUCCCCUCUUGAUUGGAAGGGACCUCCAGAUAUAACCACUCAUAAGUUGAGUUUGGACCCAAAGUUCCACCCGAUUAAACAAAAGAGAAGACCUCAAUCUGAGGUCAAGCAUGUAUUCAUCAACGACGAGGUAUCUAAACUCCUUAAAAUAGGAUCCAUCCAGAAAGUUGGGUACCUGAUAUGGUUAGCUAAUGUAGUAGUAGUACCUAAAAAGUAAAAUAAUCUAAGAAAGUGUGUAGAUUACAAAGACUUGAACAAGGCAUGCCCUAAGGAUUAUUUUCAUUUACCUAACAUUGAUCGUAUAAUCGACGCAAUGUACGAGCAUGAGAUACUCAUUUUUUGUGCCUAUUACUAGUACAAAAAAUUCGGUUGGACCCGGGUGAUCAAGAAAAAACUUCCUUUAUCACUUUGACACCUAUUGCUAUAACAUAAUGUCAUUUAAAUUAAAGGACACUGGUUCCACUUAUCACUGCCUAGUAAAUCGGAUUUUUGAAGAACAAAUAGGAAAAUUAAUGGAAGCUUAUAUUGGCGACAUGAUAGUUAAGUCCCUACGAGCAUAGGACCAUCUGAAACAUUUGCAACAAAACCUUUGACAUACUGAAGAAAUACAGUAAGAAGCUAAAUCCCAAGAAGUGCGCUUUCGGUGUUGAUUCAGAAAAGUUUCUCAUGUUUAUGGUAUCCAAUCGGGGAAUCGAGAUUAAUCCUAAAAAAAUCAAAACCAUAGAAGACAUCACCGUGGUAGAUAACGUCAAGGUCGUUAAGAGGUUGACGGGAAUAUAUCCGCCUGGUUGGUUUAUAUCGAGGUCUUCAGACAAAAGUUGUGACUUCUUCUCACUAUUAAAGAAGAAGAAUAAUUUUUCCUGGACCCCGGAGUGCCAACAAGCUUUGGAGGAACUCAGACGGUACCUUUCAAGUCUGCCCUCGCUCGACACUCUGAAGACGGAAGUAAAUUCCAUGAGUUUUAACUUUGGAUUACAGAAACAAAUACAUAGAUCACUUGAAAAUGGGAAAGUUGCCCUCGGACCCGAAACUAUUGAGGGAUCUAUUUACGAACACUGCUAGGUUUAGCUUGUUAAGGGACUUUGUCCAAAAGAGCAUUCGAAGGCCUGUUUUCCAUAUGUUUUGGACCUGCAGUUACCGAAUAUGCCUUGAGAGAAGUUCACGAAGGCACUUGCAGAAACCCUUCGGGGGCGGAAUCUUUGGUUUGAAAUUAAUCAGGGCCAGCUAUAAAGUUAUGGAUGAGGGAUAAUUGAUACAAGAAGAUGAGAUGCCAAGCAAUGAAGCGCAAGCAAAUGAUGAGGCUUGCUCCUCCAUAUCCUCAAAGGCUUGCCAAGCAAAAUGGUGAGAACCAAUUCAAAAGGUUUAUUGACAUGAUGAAAAGUUUGUCUAUUAAUGUACCAUUGGUUGAGGCCUUGGAAUAAAUACCGGGAUAUGCAAAGUUCAUGAAGUAUUUGGUCACCAAAACGAGGUCGAUGAAUUGUGAAACUAUAAAGAUGACACACCAAGUGAGUGCAAUUGUGCAUUCAAUGGAUCCUAAGUUGGAAAAUCUAGGAGCUUUCAUAAUUCAAUGUACAAUUGGAUGUGAAGACUUUGCCAAAGCUUUAUGUGAUCUUGGGGAGAGUAUCAACUUGAUGCCCUACUCAGUGUUCAACACUUUGAGGUUGGGAAACCAAGACCCACAUCUAUGAGGUUGCAAAUGGUGGAUCGUACAAUGAAGAGGCCUUUGGGUAUUAUUGAUGAUGUAUUGUUUUGUGUUGACAUGUUCAUCCUUCUGGCAAAUUUUGUGAUCUUUGAUUGUGAAGUGGACUGUUAGGUGCCUGUUAUUUUAGGUAGACCUUUCCUUGCUAUGGGGAAGGCUCUAGUUGAUGUGGAAUUCGAUGUGCUCACUUUCCAGGUUGGUGUUACAAAGGUGGUCUUCCGUAGAUUCAAAUCUAUAAGGCAAGUGAAUAGCAAUGAAGUUUGUUUGUUCAUGGAUUUGGUGGAUGAUGUGAUAACUGAUGAUUCUAGUGCUAGAAGGAAUAUUAAGGAUAAUUUGGAAGUUGUCUUGCUCAACCUUGACGAUAAUUAGGAGAAAGAAGGCUAUGUAGAGUGUGUGAAUGCAUUGAAAGGAAUUGGGUCGUACAUUAUGAGCCUCGCAAGUUAUGCUUGGAACUUGAAAAUCGGAUGACUCCUCAAAUAAAGCCUGCAAUCGAGGAGCCUCCCUCUCUUUAGUUAAAACCAUUGCCAGUGCAUUUCAGGUAUGAGUUCCUUGACCAUUCUUCUACUUUACCGAUUAUUCUUUCCUCUUGUUCUAACAUGCAGGUAGAGUCCAUAUUGGAGGUGCUACAAAGGAGGAAGUGAGCAAUUGGAUGGACAUUGGCAGAUAUCCGGGCAUAAGUCCCGCCUUUUGCAUGAACAAUAUUAUUUUAUAUGAGGGUGAAAAACCCUCCAUUAAACAUCAAAGGAUACAAAAUGAAGCAAUGCAAGAGGUAAUCAAGAAGGAGAUAAUCAAGUAGUUGGAUGUCAGGGUUGUUUACCCCAUUUUGAUAGUUCAUGGACUUUUCUGGUGCAAUGUGUCCCAAAGAAAAAGGGCAUGACUAUGGUUACCAAUGACAAGAACGAGUUGAUUCCUACAAGAACAGUGACCGGAUGGUGUGUGUAUAGACUAUCACAAGAUCAACAAAGUUACAAGAAAAGAUUAUUUUUCACUUCCCUUCCUUGAUCAAAUGCUUGAUAGAUUGGACUGUCGUGCUUUCUAUUGCUUCCUCAAUGGGUGUUCCGGCUACAAUCAAAUUCUCAUUGCUCCGGAGGAUCAAGAAAAGACCGUUUUCCCACAUCCCUAUGGUACUUUUGCAUUCUCGUGGAUGCCAUUUGGGUUAUGCAAUGCAACAACGACAUUUCAACAGUGUAUGAUGGUUAUCUUCACUUACAUGGUGCAGGAUAUUCUUGAGCUUUUCAUGGACGAUUUUUCCGUGGUUGGUGUCACACCUCCAUUUUUACACGGCUACCUCGAAGGUUAAAAACUCAUAUAUGAUUUUUUCCAAUCAAAGUGACAUUAUUCGAAAUGGGAUUAUUUAUUUAUUAGAGUCGCCACUUGUGAUAGGUUUGGCUUUUGGUGUCCCAAGUCACCGGUUCAUUUAGAAUCCCAAAUCGAGGAAAAUUGUCAACUGCCCAAAUGGAGUCUGCGAAACAAAAUUCUAAGUAAGAAAUUCUGUUGACCCGAGGGAAGGUAUUAGGCACCCUCGGAUCCCGUGGUUCUAGCAUGGUCGCUUAAACUAUUUUAAUUGGCUAAUGUUCUAAUUUUUAUACAUGUUCAUCCUAUGAGCAUUUUUUUAAUUUUAACCGCUUUAUUCAUUUUUAGGAAUAUUGCAACGUUAUUAAAACACAUCUUGAACCACGUCACAUAAAUGCACCCGCAGUUUUCGACAUAUUUUAACAUUGGUCAGAUUUGGAUUUGGGUCACAUAAAUGCACACUCGAAUUUAGGAAGAUAAAUUAUUAAAAUAAAACGCCCAAAGCAACUGCACGUUUUCAAGUGUACGAGGGCCAUGGAAAAUUCACUAAUGGCGCUCUUUGAUUUCUUAGGAGUUAAAAAUUAAUUAAGUGAGGACCAUAUGUUUGGGAUUUUAUUUGGCAUAGCACGCCGAUAUAUAAAAAUUAUUUUCUUAGACUACUUUUAGAAUGUUGUGAGGUCAUGUUUUGUGGAUAUUAAUUUGCAAAAAAGAUGUAUGAUUUAUCUAAACAAAAUUUAUUUUUGUUAAACCUGUUCGACUAAAUUAACAUAUGAAUAAUCAAUCAGCUAAGACUAAGCCAUCAGAGAGCCAACAGUAAAUAACCUGAAUGAAGUGAUUAAAUACGAUAGGGAUCUAUUAUAAACUUUCGUCAACCAAAUACAUUUAUAACAUUGGAUAAAACCAAACACACAUGACUGGGAGGAAAUCGAUCCUAGCAUUGCUAUUAAUAAUAAAACUAACCAAGUUAUCAUGCCUCUGUUAUUAAGACACUGAAGAUACAAUGAUGAUUAAAUAGUAUACUUGACCGAAAGCAACAAACAUUUAUAACAGUUAAAUUAAACUUUGGAACCAAAUUUGCUCACGGUCAAGAUUUUAAAUCAAUAACCACAACUAUUUUAACAUUUAUUUAGACUAAAUCUUAAAAAAAGACAAGAAAUAAGAAUUUUAACCUCAUCUAAUAAGUAAAACAAAAUUUGCAUUAAAAUCAUUCAUCCAAAGCAACAAAGAGAUGAUCAGAGAGGUACCUUAAUGGAAACAAUUUCCUUUAAUAUUACUGAAGAAUGUUGUAAAGUUGGAGUACAAUGAAGAACAAUGACCAAAUUUGAGGACUAACACGACCAUAUACCAAAGAUCGUGAAUAGAUCCAAUAUCACGUCGUCAGCCUUAGCGGACUCAAAUCGGACCUCGACUCGACACUAAUAUGCACAAAAGGGGGCUGCUUUUGAGCUGCAUUUUGUUUAAGUUUUAGUGGAGAUCGAACAAUGAUGGUUAAGUGGUUAUUGUAGUUGGGUUAGGAUGAUUUUCAACAGUAUUUAACUGGAGAAGAGGGUGAUUUUGACUGCAUUUUUGGGACUAUUUGGUGUCUGAAUUUCAGCUGGGUUUUUCGGAGGUUUUACACAAUAUUUGGGGCUGAUUUUGAUGGCGGAACUUGAGGUUUAUGGGUUAUUGUUUUUGGGACUGGUUUGAAACUGAGAUUUACCGGUGUUUUUUUAAGAAGAUAAAAUUCUAGGAAGGGGAUAGGUCUUAUUGGGUAUUAAGCGCAACUUUUCAG